GGUAGUGUGGCCGAGUGGUCAAAGGCAGCAGACUGUAAAUCUGCCGGCGGACGCCUACGGUGGUUCGAAUCCACCCGCUACCA
rnacentral:tRNA from 2 species